AACAAGGAACAAAGUGAGGGAAUUCAUGAAAUUAAUAUGAGACUUUUCGUUAGAUACCGACGACGAUUCUUAAAUAUACAACGAAAUUCAUACGAGACUUCUCAGCAUAGUAGCAACGAAAUUUUGCGAUUCUAAGGGAGCACGGUUUAAUUUUUCUCAAGAAUAUCAUACAAAUAUUUCUCUACUUUGGUUCGCCGUUACGUAUUGUUUCAAUCAAUGAGUGUUAAAGGAAUUUUUAAGAGAAUCGAUUCAGAUAUGGUAAGGCUAUCUCUUCUUUCUUUUGUCAUGAUCCAUACGAUAUGAACGAAAUAUGCAAACGCACAAAUUACAUAAAUGACUCUAUUCGUAGAAAUAUUAGAGAUAUCUAUGUUCUUGUAUUUCCAUGUGUCAUAAUACUUUAUCAUCUCUUCAUGAGUCUCAGAAAAAUACGAAAGUUGAAACGAGCUUACUUUAUGAUAUUACUCAAAGGCAAAAUGGUCUUAUGUUAUUUCGAAAGAUUUUAUUAACGUACUUUUCAUGCAUUAUAUUCAUGUAAAUUGACAUGUGACCAGAUGAUGUUAUAUAUGCGUAUAUAUGUAUGUAUAUAUAUGUAUAUGGGAUAUGGGAAAGGUUAUAACGUUAUAUACGCACCCCACCUGAUCAGUAUACAUUGAUGAUUUUGUCCAUAGUGGCCAAGAUGAUAUGAUGGGAUGCCCUCAGAGGCUAAUGAUGGUAUGAAACAUGUACCUAUGCAUGACAUGAUAUUCAUAUGCAUAUGCAUAAUACUAUAAUUAUUUCAUGAUUUACAAAGUUAUUCAGACUUACAAGUUGAGUCAUGUACCCCAUAUUUCUUCCAUGUCUGUUAUGUACUUAUUUAUGUUCCUUACAUACUCGGUAUAUUUUUCGUACUGACGUCCCUUUUGCCUGGGGAUGUUGCGUUUCAUGUCCGCAGGUCCCAAUAGACACGUCGAGAGCCCUCCAAGUAGGCUAUCAGCUCAGCGGAAGAUGUUGGUGCGCUCCAUUUGCUUCAAAGUUGCUUGUUUGGUUAGUUUGAUUUAGACAUGUAUUGUUUGGUAUGGCGGGACUCUAUCCCGACCUAUAUGACAUUUAUGUACUCUUGGAGGCUUGUAGACAUAUGUCGUGUAUGUGAAAGAUUGUACGGC
rnacentral:lncRNA from 1 species